AAGAUUAUCAGNGANGCGGUCGCGGCCCUCGGCGGGAGCACAGCUGCCGUCGGGCGGUAGAGGUAACACUUUCACGCGCCGCAUGUCUGAAUCCUUUUUUUACGAGCACCUUUCGUUCUCCUUCGGCGGGGCAACCUGCCGUUGGAACCUAUCAAAACCUUUUUUUUGCAUCUAGCAUUACCUGUUCUGAUACAAACAAUCGUUACAACUUUCAACAAUGGAUCUCUUGGCUCUGGCAUCGAUGAAGAACGCAGCGAAAUGCGAUAAGUAGUGUGAAUUGCAGAAUUCAGUGAAUCAUCGAAUCUUUGAACGCACAUUGCGCCCCUUGGUAUUCCAUGGGGCAUGCCUGUUCGAGCGUCAUCUACACCCUCAAGCUCUGCUUGGUGUUGGGCGUCUGUCCCGCCUCUGCGCGCGGACUCGCCCCAAAUUCAUUGGCAGCGGUCCUUGCCUCCUCUCGCGCAGCACAUUGCGCUUCUCGAGGGGCGCGGCCCGCGUCCACGAAGCAACAUUACCGUCUUUGACCUCGGAUCAGGUAGGGAUACCCGCUGAACUUAAGCAUAUCAAUAGCCGGAAGGAAAA
rnacentral:sRNA from 1 species